GAUCCUGGCUCAGGACGAACGCUGGCGGCGUGCCUAAUACAUGCAAGUAGAACGCUGAAGGAGGAGCUUGCUUCUCUGGAUGAGUUGCGAACGGGUGAGUAACGCGUAGGUAACCUGCCUGGUAGCGGGGGAUAACUAUUGGAAACGAUAGCUAAUACCGCAUAACAGUAGAUGUUGCAUGACAUUUGCUUAAAAGGUGCAAUUGCACCACUACCAGAUGGACCUGCGUUG
rnacentral:rRNA from 1 species